rnacentral:lncRNA from 1 species
ACAUGGAAGACAUGACAAACGGGAAAAAAAAAAGUGCCAGAAGCCUGCGCAUUGUGCAAACUACACCUUGGUUCAAAAAGUAAAUUACCUACCAAUGCGUGCUCUCGCGUUCUCCCGUGCACAAACCCUUCAUUCCACCCUUUAUCGCCUCACCCGUGCUCACUCACCUCACGUGCCGCAAUCAUGCAAGUGCCGCCCGGUGUGAUCAAAAAUCGAACUGGCCUCAUGCAUAGCGAAACCCCUCCGCUAAUAGAUCCAUAUAUUGAUGUGUUUGUUAAAUCCAUCCAAAUUUGCCGGAAAUUUUUCCACCAAUAAGGAAUGAGAGGGGGCGGGAGCUUGCACGCUUGCACGCUCAGCUCGCGUACUGAGGGGGAAUGAGAGGGACGGGAGACCGACACAAACCUCUGACCAUGGCAGAAGCAACAGCUGAGUUUGAAAAUAUAUUGCUGCAUUGUAAUAUUCAGGGCUAUUUGUAUGAGCCAGAAUACAGCGAGGAAGAACUGAGACGAAUAGAGGAGGAGGCUGCUGCGGCUGCAGCUGAACAAGCCUUGCCUGUUGCUGAGGAGCCGGAUCGCGCCGGAGUGAACUGGUGGUGUACCUGUUUGCUCUGUUCACCUAUGGAGACUCACAAAGAGUCCCUGUGCUGCAGCGAAUUUCAGCGAUGCCAGUUUCUUCGCGAUGAAAUGGCUGAAUCUGGCGAGGAAGGGGCCGUGUGUGUAACAUCUCACCCAGGCUUUACGCCUCAUCUGAACCGUUGGGUAUUGGACACUUAUUUCCGUACCCAGAAAGUCAACUGGAAACGCCAGCCAAAGCCCGCCGGGAGAAACGGACGUCUGAGCACAGAGCUAACAUCUUACCGGCAUUUCCUGGAGUGGAUACUGCAAGGUGAGAGACUUGGGAGAGGCAAUCGCCUUGUUUUGCCAGCGUGUGUUGUCCAGGCCAUCAGGGCUAAUUACCCAACACAAGAUGGGCAGUACCGUGGCUACCAGGAGACGGUAGAUGCCCAAGAUGAGCUGUGAUAUUUAGCAAACUCACCAUACGUUUUGUUUUUGUAUAUAGUUUAUAUUUUAUGAAUAAAACUUCAAAUUCAUGUUGGUUGUUGUGAUUUGUUUACUAUACCAAAUGAUGUUACACUAAAGUAGGCCUGCUGUAUAAGAUGAACACUUAUUUCAACUGGGGAGAAAAGGUUUACAUAUAGCCUACUUGAUAUGCUGAAAUACUGUAAUUAGCAAAUGUUUGAUGUACAGUAAUAUAC